GCUCGAGUGGCGAACGGGUGAGUAACACGUGAGUAACCUGCCCUUGACUUUGGGAUAACUUCAGGAAACUGGGGCUAAUACCGGAUAGGAGCUCCUGCUGCAUGGUGGGGGUUGGAAAGUUUCGGCGGUUGGGGAUGGACUCGCGGCUUAUCAGCUUGUUGGUGGGGUAGUGGCUUACCAAGGCUUUGACGGGUAGCCGGCCUGAGAGGGUGACCGGCCACAUUGGAACUGAGAUACGGCCCAG
rnacentral:rRNA from 1 species